AAAACGCGAUAAUUAAUGUGAAUUGCAGACACCGUGAAUCAUCGAACCUUUGAACGCACUAGUGCCCUCAAAUUUAUUUGAAGGCAGGUCUAUUUGAGUGUCGAUUUUUUCUCUUUUCAUACCUAAUGAAGCUUGACGUGUCAUGAGGGCCAUAUAUUUUGCCUUCACGUCCGUUUAAAUAUUUUGGGCGAAUAACUUAUUUGUUUGAGACCCCUUUCGCGUUAAGAGCUAUGCUUGUCGGCCAAAAAAAAUUAACGCUUAAGGGAGAGACACUUAAGGCUUAUUCGUUGCCGUAACAUUGCUAAACCAAGCUAGUCCCUUGUUUUGAAUUUAUUCAAUUCAUUGGGACUUAGCCUUUUUUUUUAUUCGACCUCAAUUUAGAUCAGAGUACCCGCUGAAUUUAAGC
rnacentral:misc_RNA from 1 species